rnacentral:rRNA from 1 species
UAAAAGCCUCGACUACAUUUAAAAUAAAUUAAUGUCAGUAAAAUUUAUGUAUAGGAAUAAUUCUGCAAUCUAAAAUAAAAUUUAUAUAAGUUCGGGUGGGUGAGGUUAUUUAUAUUAUAUAAUAGUAAUAAAAUAUUAAUUUUAAGAAUACAACCACAAUAUUGAAGUAAGAUAUUUAUUUAUUGAAAAAUAAAAAUAGUUAUAAAAAAUUUAUAUGUUAAAUUAGUGCCAGCUACAGCGGUUAAACUAACUGUAAGUUAAAUUUUAAAUUAAUAAUUUUACUUUAAAAAUUUAAUGGUUAAAUAAAUUUUAUAGGAAGAAAUAUCAAUUUUAUUAAAUUAAAUUAAUUAAAUAGGAUUAGAUACCCUAGUAAAAAAUAUUAUAAGGUAGUAUAAAAUUUUUAAACCUAAAUUAUUUGGCGGUUCAAAAGUUAUAGAGGGGCUUAUAUUUUAAUAGAUACCGCCCUAUAAAUUUUACUUUUAUUUCUAUGCACAUCGUUGUAGUAGUGUUUUUAAAAAGUAAAAUUAAUCAAAAAUUUAAAAAUUCAAAUCAUGAUACAGGUUUUAAAAGAAAAUAUGAGUUACAGUGUUGACUUUAAUUAUGAUUAAGGAAAUUUUGGAUUUAUUAGUAAUUAAGUUUAAUAAAAAUUUAAUGAAUUUUUAAUAAGGAAGUACAUAUCGCCCGUCAAUUUUAGGAAUAAAAUAAGUCGUAACAAAGUAGAUUUAUUGGAAAAUAAAUCUUU